rnacentral:rRNA from 1 species
GACGAACGCUCGCGGCGUGCUUAACACAUGCAAGUCGAACGAUGAAGCUGGAGCUUGCUCCGGUGGAUUAGUGGCGAACGGGUGAGUAACACGUGAGCAAUCUGCCCUUCACUCUGGGAUAACUGCGGGAAACUGUAGCUAAUACCGGAUACGAGACCUCGGGGCAUCCCAGGGCCUGGAAAGAAUUUCGGUGAAGGAUGAGCUCGCGGCCUAUCAGCUAGUUGGUGAGGUAAUGGCACACCAAGGCGACGACGGGUAGCCGGCCUGAGAGGGUGACCGGCCACACUGGGACUGAGACACGGCCCAGACUCCUACGGGAGGCAGCAGUGGGGAAUAUUGCACAAUGGGCGAAAGCCUGAUGCAGCAACGCCGCGUGAGGGAUGAAGGCCUUCGGGUUGUAAACCUCUUUUAGUAGGGAGGAAGCGCAAGUGACGUUACCUACAGAAAAAGCACCGGCUAACUACGUGCCAGCCGCCGCCGUAA